GCAAUAUUCCCAAAUUAAACACUUAAAUUGGUGCACUACUUGAAACAUUCAUAAAACAAGGUUUGCCGUACCGGACUGUACCGUCCGGUACGGGCGGUACAUACCGGUCCGAUAGGCUAGCGGUACGCGGACCGUCCUGUACCGGUCCGCCCGUACCGAGCACUGUAGCACUGCUACAGUGCUCGGUACACCUGGGUGUACCGAGCGGUAUACCGUACCGUACCGGUACCGAGCCCGGGUCGAAACGCCGGUACGGUACGGUACGACGAACCUUGCAUAAAACAAUAAUUUUGUAAUAGAUUUUUUCUCCAUGAUAAACAAAUAUCAUGAUGCAGUCUUCAAUAAUCACAAUAGAGUAGGUUGUAACAUCCAAGGUUCGCAAUACCGUACCGUACCAGAGUUUCGAUCUGGGCUCGGUACGGUACGGUAUACCGCUCGGUACACCCAGGUGUACCGAGCGAUAUAUUCAGGCGUGCCGAGCACUGUAGCAGUGCUACACUGCUACAGUACUGCUAACCAUGGUAACAUCUGAAGCUUCUUUACAUCAAGCAAAAGGUACAAUUUACUACUUGAACUUACAGUUGAAGAUACACUCUUUGUAUUGUAUUUGUCAUCCCAGUACUGUGUGCAAAUUCUAUAAAGCUGCUGCACGCUGAGAGCCUGCGAAAG
rnacentral:lncRNA from 1 species